GCUUGGGGAACAUACUUCUUUAUAUGCCCAUAUGGACGUGCGGAGCUAUGGAAUGUAAAGAAGUAUGUAUUUCAGGU
rfam:Ailuropoda melanoleuca scaffold718_66, whole genome shotgun sequence.